CGGGCGUGUGGCGCAUGUUCUUCUACACAACGGCAGCGGUGUACGUGGCCUGCAACGCGGUGUUCCUGGUGUUCGCAAGCAGCGAGCGGCAGCCAUGGGACGAGGCCGAGACACCCGCCAUCGGACCGGACUCUGGCGAGUCCAAGAAAACCCCGGUGGAGCGGCGUAGUCGCGCUGCGCUCGUGGACCAACCUAACUCUCAUCUGUAUAUACUCGUAUACUAACUCAUAAUAAUAAGUGUCAACCUCUAUGUAAAUAUACCAAUAAGAUAUUAUUAAGCGCAA